rnacentral:rRNA from 1 species
UACGUAGGGGGCAAGCGUUGUCCGGAUUUAUUGGGCGUAAAGAGCGUGUAGGCGGUUUGGUAGGUCCGCUGUGAAAACUCGAGCUCAACCUCGAGACGCCGGUGGAAACCAUCAGACUAGAGUCCGGAAGAGGAGAGUGGAAUUCCUGGUGUAGCGGUGAAAUGCGCAGAUAUCAGGAAGAACACCCAUGGCUAAGGCGGCUCUCUAGUACGGGUAC